GGGCCGGGGCCGCGCCGCCAGCGCCCCCGGGGCUGCGAGCGGGUACUCACUCGAUGAAGUAGCUGGCGCCCUCCUCCGAGAACCCCUCCUCCCAUCCGCGGGGCAGGUCUGCAAGGCACGGGGGAAAGAGAGAGACAGAGAGAGAAAGAGAUUGAGAGCGGGAAGGAGGGGUGAGAACUUCGCCCGGCCGCGGGGAGGGAGGGGGGCGAGGAGGGGGCGCCGCUCGCGGGCCCCGCCGCCCCCCGGGCACCCACCUGAGCGGAUCAUGUGGCCGGAGUUGACGGGCUCCCCGGUGCGAGGGUGCAGCCAGGUGGUGGUGCGGGUCAGGUCGCUGAGAAGGGAGAAGCGGAAAACAUGCACCUGUUAGCGGUGACUGCGUGCGGCCGCCCGGGCGGGCGGGCGGGAGCGGGGCCGCCCUCCCUCCUCCCCGCACCCCUCGCGCGGCGCCCCCUUACUCGAUGAAGAAGACGCGCCCGUCCCUGCAGACGCCGUAGGACCAGUGCUCAGAUAACCAAAAUAAAUAAUCAGAAGAAAGUAGGAGGCAGGAAAAACAGCCUCAUUGGGAAGAGAGAGGGCUUUGCUCAAUUUCAUACCAGUUUCAGACAACAUGCAGGCUCUGGUUCCAGUUGUCCCUGGCUGAUGUCGGCCACUUUUCUAUUACAUAUCAUUCAUUGCUCUCUAGAGGCACUGUGUGGAAGAAACUAUUUGAGGGCACUGUAAGCCUGGCAGCACUGAGAAGCCCUCAGUUCUUCAGUAUUGAUAUACCUGCAACUAUCAACAUUUGGUUUGUUUUAAAGCAGGCACUUGAAGUGAUUUCCAUUCUUAUGAACACAGAUAGGCUCACUGUCAUCCCAUAGCUAUGGACACCUGAGUAUGAGGAAGAUCCUUCUUUAAAGAACAGGACAAAUGGAAAUACAGACAUCACUGACCUCUAAGACUAAAAACUUCAAUAUUUUAAAUCAAACUGUUCAAUUCUCUGAUGUUUCCUCACAAAUUAUGCAUUUUAUUUCCUUCCCCAACAUGAGAUACCUCACUUCUUUGUUCCCAUCAAAGCUUUUUUCCUCCAGCUUUGAGUCCAUUAUCCCAUGACUGUUAUUACCCCUUUUUUUCCAGCCCCUCUGGCAACUGCCAUUACCAUAUUUGCCCCCCUUUUUGGAAUGUUUUACAUACCACACUCAAGGCAAGCAGAAUGUCACAUAUUCCCAACGAUCUCCCAACUAAGACAUUUUUUCUAAAGAAAUUAAAGACCCCUAAAUUCACUAUCCAGGCUUCUCCUGAAGUUUGUUCUUCAUUUGCUUUGCAAGACCCGAAACUUCACCCCUGAAUCCCCUUAAUAGUAAGACCAACUAACAUGUUCAACAGGAUGUUUUCAAAUUUGAAUGUGUCAAAGCCUUUGAUAAAGCAGAUUUUCUCUUCAUUUUUCUUAAUAAACCCACAAAUAGCUUGCUGCUGCUUUGUAGAUCACUUAAAACACAUCCAGGCAUACUAAUAGCAAUCCCCACACAAGACUCCAGACAAGAUUCAAUUUUAGCAUCUUCUGCCCUAUCUUUCCAGAGAUGUUACUUUCUCACCAUGCUCCUAACUCACCAAGGUGUCAGCCCUUUUCCUAAAUAAGCUUUUGCCAGGCAGAACAACCUCUUCUGGCUGUAGUCUCCCAGUUCCUCUAUUCAAAGACCUUUGCAGGACAAUCUGUUUGGCUCCAGAAGGAGAUAACUGAGAGUUAACCACCCUCCCUGAUUUUUCUGGUAACAUGAAGUGUACAUACCUCAUCAC